UUGGGUAUAACUCAAUGGUAGAGUACUUGCAUGGUAUGUAAGAGACACUGAGUUUGAUACCCAGCACCUAGG
rnacentral:tRNA from 1 species